rnacentral:rRNA from 1 species
CCUACGGGCGGCAGCAGUGGGGAAUAUUGCGCAAUGGGCGAAAGCCUGACGCAGCGACGCCGCGUGAGGGAUGAAGGUCUUCGGAUCGUAAAACUCUGUCAGCAGGGAAGAACGGUCACUGUGCUAAUCAGCAGUGAAUUGACGGUACCUGCAAAGGAAGCACCGGCUAACUCCGUGCCAGCAGCCGCGGUAAUACGGAGGGUGCGAGCGUUAAUCGGAAUUACUGGGCGUAAAGCCCUCGUAGGCGGUAUGUCAAGUCAAGGGUGAAUUCCCCGCGCUCAACGUGGGAACUGCCUUUGAAACUGGCAAACUGGAGUGUGUGAGAGGAUAGUGGAAUUCCAGGUGUAGGAGUGAAAUCCGUAGAUAUCUGGAGGAACAUCAGUGGCGAAGGCGACUAUCUGGCACAUAACUGACGCUGAGGAGCGAAAGCGUGGGUAGCAAACAGGAUUAGAUACCCGGGUAGUC